CAACGUCAGCGCUACGUCGCGGCCGGGGCUGGAUGUGUGGACGAGUCCUGGGUGAAUCCGGCCACCCAGCACUCGGGGCGCUUUGCGCGUGCCAAGGUGCAGCUUUUUAGUGGCAAGACUCGGCUCGAAACCGAUGUGGGAGUUUUUCAUACCCCAACAGACGCUC
rnacentral:misc_RNA from 1 species